rnacentral:rRNA from 1 species
AGAGUUUGAUCAUGGCUCAGGAUGAACGCUAGCGACAGGCCUAACACAUGCAAGUCGAGGGGCAGCGGGGAGGUAGCAAUACCUUUGCCGGCGACCGGCGCACGGGUGAGUAACACGUAUGCAAUCCACCUGUAACAGGGGGAUAACCCGGAGAAAUCCGGACUAAUACCCCAUGAUAUGGGCGCUCCGCAUGGAGGGUCCAUUAAAGAGAGCAAUCUUGGUUACAGACGAGCAUGCGCUCCAUUAGCCAGUUGGCGGGGUAACGGCCACAAGGCGACGAUGGAUAGGGGUUCUGAGAGGAAGGUCCCCCANAUUGGAACUGAGACACGGUCCAAACUCCUACGGGAGCA